CCCGGUCACAUUCCGAACCCGGAAGCUAAGACUCUCAGCGCCGAUGGUACUGCAGGGGGGACCCUGUGGGAGAGUAGGACACCGCCGGAC
rnacentral:rRNA from 2 species